ACGGAAGGCAGCAGUGGGGAAUAUUGCACAAUGGGCGAAAGCCUGAUGCAGCGACGCCGCGUGAGUGAAGAAGUAUCUCGGUAUGUAAAGCUCUAUCAGCAGGGAAGAAAAUGACGGUACCUGACUAAGAAGCCCCGGCUAACUACGUGCCAGCAGCCGCGGUAAUACGUAGGGGGCAAGCGUUAUCCGGAUUUACUGGGUGUAAAGGGAGCGUAGACGGUUUGGCAAGUCUGAAGUGAAAUGCGGGGGCUCAACUCCUGAACUGCUUUGGAAACUGUCGAACUAGAGUGCAGGAGAGGUAAGUGGAAUUCCUAGUGUAGCGGUGAAAUGCGUAGAUAUUAGGAGGAACACCAGUGGCGAAGGCGGCUUACUGGAGUGUAACUGACGUUGAGGCUCGAAAGCGUGGGGAGCAAACAGGAUUAGAUACCCUGGUA
rnacentral:rRNA from 1 species